rnacentral:sRNA from 1 species
GGAAGUAAAAGUCGUAACAAGGUCUCCGUAGGUGAACCUGCGGAGGGAUCAUUAACGAGUUAGGGUCUCCCUAGGCCCGACCUCCCAACCCUUUGUUUACCUAAACCUCAUGUUGCUUCGGCGGACCCGUCUCACGACCGCCUGGGGAUCGCUGCAAAAGCGUCUCUGGGCCCGUGUCCGCCGACAGCCAACCCCAAACUCUGGAUGAAUCGUGUUUUUUGUCUGAGUCUUGUGAUUAAAUCAAAAGCAAAAACUUUCAACAACGGAUCUCUUGGUUCUGGCAUCGAUGAAGAACGCAGCGAAAUGCGAUAAGUAAUGCGAAUUGCAGAAUUCCAGUGAGUCAUCGAAUCUUUGAACGCACAUUGCGCCCUUUGGUAUUCCAAAGGGCAUGCCUGUUCGAGCGUCAUUAUCACCCCUCAAGCCCCGUGCUUGGUGUUGGACGGUUUUGGUCGAGUGUUCUCGACCCCUCCUAAAGACAAUGACGGCGGCCUGCGGAUCCCCCGGUACACUGAGCUUUUCACCGAGCACGUAUCGGACAAGGGCGCCCAGGCCACGGUCCUCUCCUCUAACCAGGAAACAUUUUCAAGGUUGACCUCGGAUCAGGUAGGAAUACGCGCUGAACUUAAGCAUAUCAAUAAGCGGAGGA